CCUACGGGUGGCAGCAGUGGGGAAUAUUGGACAAUGGGCGAAAGCCUGAUCCAGCCAUGCCGCGUGUGUGAAGAAGGCCUUCGGGUUGUAAAGCACUUUCAGUGGGGAAGAAAGCCUUGGGGCUAAUACCCUCGAGGAAGGACAUCACCCACAGAAGAAGCACCGGCUAACUCCGUGCCAGCAGCCGCGGUAAUACGGAGGGUGCGAGCGUUAAUCGGAAUUACUGGGCGUAAAGCGCGCGUAGGCGGUCUGAUAAGCCGGUUGUGAAAGCCCCGGGCUCAACCUGGGAACGGCAUCCGGAACUGUCAGGCUAGAGUGCAGGAGAGGAAGGUAGAAUCCCCGGUGUAGCGGUGAAAUGCGUAGAGAUCGGGAGGAAUACCAGUGGCGAAGGCGGCCUUCUGGACUGACACUGACGCUGAGGUGCGAAAGCGUGGGUAGCAAACAGGAUUAGAUACCCUAGUAGUC
rnacentral:rRNA from 1 species